rnacentral:misc_RNA from 1 species
UCUCCGUAGGUGAACCUGCGGAGGGAUCAUUACUGAGCGAGGGCUUAACCGCCCGACCUCCAACCCUUUGUGAACCGUACUCGUUGCUUCGGGGGCGACCCUGCCGUUUCGACGGCGAGCGCCCCCGAAGGUCUCCCAACACUGCAUCUUUGCGUCGGAGUUUAACACAAAUGAAACAAAACUUUCAACAACGGAUCUCUUGGUUCUGGCAUCGAUGAAGAACGCAGC